rnacentral:lncRNA from 1 species
AACAGAUAUAUUUGGCUAUAAAAUCUGUGAUUGAGAAUGUCACACCAAUAUUAAAUAAACUUUGUUUUUUUAGAGAAAUUGCAAUGUAUAACCAUAAAAAAAUAUAAUUCAACAUAUACCCAUAGCAAGCACAUGGCUAGAAUAUGCAAUGUAUAUUUGUGUAAUAUUAUUCAUUUUAUCCGUCUUGUUUUAAUACUGCGAAAG